UACGAAGGGUGCAAGCGUUACUCGGAAUUACUGGGCGUAAAGCGUGCGUAGGCGGUUUGUUAAGUCCGUUGUGAAAGCCCUGGGCUCAACCUGGGAAUUGCAGUGGAUACUGGCAAGCUAGAGUACGGUAGGGGAUGGUGGAAUUCCCGGUGUAGCGGUGAAAUGCGUAGAGAUCGGGAGGAACACCCGUGGCGAAGGCGGCCAUCUGGACCGGUACUGACGCUGAGGCACGAAAGCGUGGGGAGCAAACAGG
rnacentral:rRNA from 1 species